GUUAAAGAUAUAGUUAGUUAGUAAUUAGGAGAAUUAGUUAGUAGUUUCUUGAUGCCUAUAUAUAGGCUUUGAUGUAAUCUUUUACACUCAUAUUUUCUCAUUUUGUAAUAUUUUUCAUUCAUCAAUAUUAUACACUUUUGAGCUAUUUUCUCUCUUCUCCCACAGAGCAAAUUUGGUAUCCACCUUAAAAAAAAUUUUCCGCUGCAUUUUCUCGAGAAAAUUUAUUUUUCUCAACUUUCAUUUUCUAUCGCUCUUUCUUUUCUAUUUUUCCUGAGAAAUUCAAUUCUCUAAGUACUGUUAAUUUUCCAUCUGAGAAAAUCACUUUUCUCAUCUUCCGUUUGCGAAUUCCGUUUUCUUGAUUUCAAUUUUGAUUCCGUUUUGCGAAUUUCAUGAUUCCAAUUCAUGUUCUAGAUCCG
rnacentral:lncRNA from 1 species